ensembl:misc_RNA Metazoa_SRP Metazoan signal recognition particle RNA
GCUAGGCGUGGUGGCGCACGCCUGUAAUCCCAGCUACUUGGGAGGCUGAGGCAGAAGAAUCACUUGAACCCAGGAGGCAGAGGUUGCGGUGAGCCAAGAUGGCGCCAUUGCACUCCAGCCUGGGCAACAAGAGUGAAAUUCUGUCUCAA